CAGGCCACCCGGAUCCCCUCCCCGCUCCCGCCUCUCCCCCUCGCUCCUCUCCGCCAAGAUGGCGGCGCCUCACCGGUGUCUCUUCCCCUUCCCCUCGUGGAGGGAAAAGGGGUGGAAAUGACCACGGGAGAGGAGGAAUCGCGUUUCUAAUGCUCCUCCGCUUUUUUUUUUUAAAGGCAGAUAAACCUCUGAAAGUAGGAAAUUAGCUUAGUGGAGAGGAGGGACUACGAGAUCACAAGCUUUUCUUCCUUCUGUGCUAUUUCUUUGUUUUUUUUAAAAGGGGACCUUUGACACAAAGGUGGGUUAAAAAUACCCCAAAACAGAACAAAGAAGCCCUCUCCCAAAAGCUCCUUGGUGCCGUCUCCCAGGUCUAGGUGUCACAAGCCACAACUGCUACACAUCUCUGGGCACAUGAAAUGACAAUGCAGCAGUUUAAGCAUGAGUUGUAGAUAUAUUCAAAGAGGUGAAAAGUAAUAUCUGACAGUGCAGAUUCCUAGGUUGCCUCUCAUGGCCAUUGUAGCCAAGUGACCAUUAAUAUUACUGCACCAAUGGAGUAGCAGGCAAGUAUCCAACUGCCAUUUUGCUUUGUUUACUGCAAUUACAUUUGAUACAGUCUGCCCUCGGAGCAACUAUUUAGACCCCAUUGGGCAUCGCAUGCAUGUCCCAGUCCAACGAGGGAGAUCUGUGUAUUGAGGAAAGCUUUCAUGUGCAUAGUGGACGCACCUGGAUCACACAACCACAUUGCAUUGUUCACCAAGGCCCUGCUGAUGGGUGGAUGUGUCCUUUGAUGCAGCUGGCAUUGCACACCCCCACCCAGCCCCACCAGCUGUUAUGCACAAUUAAGAGCUGGAUCAAGGCCAGAAGCAAUUAACAAGUUCUCCUGCUGAAACUUCACUUGUGACUCUGUCCUCUUGGAACACAACACAACACUCCCUUCUUGGCCAAGAGAUGAAAGAAAAGAAUUAGGAACAUUCUUACGCUUUGGAGCAGAAUAAAAUAAAACCUGGGAACUUUGGGAAUAGCUUUUGGGGGAGGAGAUGUUUAUUUCUUCCUGCGGAACUUUACUCUGCCCAUAAUUAUAAAGAGCACUUAAAGGCCAAGGAUUUGCAACCCCAGGUGGAAAAUGUCCAUUUUGAAACGAACAGUUGGGUAAGUACAUAUGGUUCCCAAUGCAUUUUGAGGAAACUAGAAAUAGCACCACUUUCAUUUUGAUUACCCCAAAUGUUUACAUAUAUGUAAUAUAGUCCACCUGCCAAAGUGAAUUUUAUUUGUAGCAGGAUGUGAUCCAUGUUUUCUUUUGACCAUGGAGGAAAUAUUAUAUGUAAUCUUGUUUCCUAAAUAUGUUAGGUUGGAUGCUGAAUCCCUAAGAAUAUAUAAAAAUGGAAAUGUUUAAUGCUUCUUCAUUAAAAACUGCUCUGGACUGGUGUUUAUAAAGAAACAUGAAGAGGCCUUUGAAACAUGUAGGGAACCAUAUUUACUUGUGCAUCUGCCCAUUUUGUUUUCCAGAAAAAGCAGCUACCAUACCUUGCACAUGGGGUGUAUGACAUUGAACUUGUAGCCCUUCUGUUCUUGAUCGAAUUCCAUCAGCAUCAGCCAGCAUGAACAAUGGUCAGGGAUAAUGGGAAUUGUAGUCCAAUGACGUCUGGAGGGCUACAGGUUCAUCACCCCUGGUGUAUGAUUUUGUCAGCAGAGCAGCUGUUACAGCACAGCAUCAUUAUAGUGAUAUAUAGAGGGGAUUUCACACUAAACCUAGUCCAGUUUAAUCAGCAUUCAACCGGGAUAUGCUCAUAUAAUUACAAAUUCUCUACCAUAACCUCCCCUUCAGUUUGGCUGUUCUCGCAAGGCAUGUUUUGUUUUAAAAGCCCACGUGCUCCUGUGCGGUUCACUGCAGACUGAGACUUCAUUGUGUUUCCUUUUCUCACCAAUUAUUUUAUUUUGGCACUUUUGAAAACCUCCACUUUGCAGUAUUAAUCCUUUUCAACAACAAACAAGUCAGUUGCUUCGUCAGGUCUCUGGGCAUUGAAUCAAAAUAGGAAAAGACAGUCUGUCAAGUGUGUUCUGUGCAUCGGUGAUUAGAAGCUAGCCACAGAAACACUUUCAAGCUAUGGAGAAGAAAUUAAUUAUCAAAGACUGCAUAUAUACAUAAAGGAACUAUUAUAUGCUCAUUGCAACUACAUUGCAGUAGAUUUGUGCACUAUGGGUUGUGGACAUGUUCCCCUUGGGGGGUAGAUUUCUGAAUUUCUCUAACUUUAAGAUUGCAGUCUAAAGUAAGAAAUGGGGAAGUUGGUGGGAGCGGUGAUCACAGAGAUAUGGGACAAGGAGAGGCUAUGAAUAUUUCCCUCUUAUUCAACCAACAAAGUUAAAUUUUUAUUUUAUUAUAAAUAUGACUAGUGUGUCUGAGAUUAGACAGGCACCCUCCUUGCUGAGCUUCAGACACUCCGGUUGGAUUUUAUGGAUGCUUGGCAGGCUCAGAGAUGUGACAGGAACAUCCAGUGGGCAAUAGGAUAAAUGUUGCUUAAAUGUUUACUUAAGCAGCUCAUGACUGGCUUUCAAAAUAACAGUAAAGCAGUAUUAAUAUAUUCAGUUGAUUCUUCUUUAUGUCCUUAAUUAAAACAGGUUCAACACA